GUAAGUGGCAAGCGUUGUCCGGAAUUAUUGGGCGUAAAGCGCGCGCAGGCGGUCCUUUAAGUCUGAUGUGAAAGCCCACGGGCUCAACCGUGGAGGGUCAUUGGAAACUGGGGGACUUGAGUACAGAAGAGGAAAGCGGAAUUCCAAGUGUAGCGGUGAAAUGCGUAGAGAUUUGGAGGAACACCAGUGGCGAAGGCGGCUUUCUGGUCUGUAACUGACGCUGAGGCGCGAAAGCGUGGGGAGCAAACAGGGAUUAGAUACCCUGGUAGUCCCACGCCGUAAACGAUGAGUGCUAAGUGUUAGGGGGUUUCCGCCCCUUAGUGCCUGCAGCUAACGCAUUAAGCACUCCGCCUGGGGAGUACGGCCGCAAGGCUGAA
rnacentral:rRNA from 1 species